rnacentral:tRNA from 3 species
GCCGCGUUAGCUCAGUUGGUAGAGCACCUGAUUUGUAAUCAGGGGGUCGCGGGUUCGAUCCCUGCACGCGGCACCA